rnacentral:rRNA from 1 species
CCUACGGGUGGCUGCAGUGGGGAAUAUUGGACAAUGGGCGAAAGCCUGAUCCAGCCAUGCCGCGUGUGUGAAGAAGGCCUUCGGGUUGUAAAGCACUUUCAGUGGGGAAGAAAGCCUUGGGGCUAAUACCCUCGAGGAAGGACAUCACCCACAGAAGAAGCACCGGCUAACUCCGUGCCAGCAGCCGCGGUAAUACGGAGGGUGCGAGCGUUAAUCGGAAUUACUGGGCGUAAAGCGCGCGUAGGCGGUCUGAUAAGCCGGUUGUGAAAGCCCCGGGCUCAACCUGGGAACGGCAUCCGGAACUGUCAGGCUAGAGUGCAGGAGAGGAAGGCAGAAUUCCCGGUGUAGCGGUGAAAUGCGUAGAGAUCGGGAGGAAUACCAGUGGCGAAGGCGGCCUUCUGGACUGACACUGACGCUGAGGUGCGAAAGCGUGGGUAGCAAACAGGAUUAGAUACCCUAGUAGUC